rnacentral:rRNA from 1 species
AACGAACGCUGGCGGCAGGCCUAAAACAUGCAAGUCGAGCGGGCAUAGCAAUAUGUCAGCGGCGGACGGGUGAAUAACACGUGGGAACAUGCCCUUUGGUACGGAACAACUCAGGGAAACUUGAGCUAAUACCCGUAUGUGCCGGUAACGGGAAAGAUUUAUCGCCAAAGGAUUGGCCCGCGUCCGAUUAGCUAGUUGGUGAGGUAACGGCUCACCAAGGCGACGAUCGGUAGCUGGUUUGAGAGAACGAUCAGCCACACUGGGAACUGAGACACGGCCCAGACUCCUACGGGAGGCAGCAGUUGGGAAUCUUGGACAAUGGGGAAACCCUGAUCCAGCCAUGCCGCGUGAGCG